rnacentral:rRNA from 1 species
AUUGAACGCUGGCGGCAUGCCUUACACAUGCAAGUCGAACGGUAGCGGGCCUUCGGGUGCCGACGAGUGGCGAACGGGUGAGUAAUGUAUCGGAACGUACCUUUCAGUGGGGGAUAACGUAGCGAAAGUUGCGCUAAUACCGCAUAUUCUGUGAGCAGGAAAGCAGGGGACCGCAAGACCUUGCGCUGAUUGAGCGGCCGAUAUCAGAUUAGCUAGUUGGUGAGGUAAAGGCUCACCAAGGCGACGAUCUGUAGCGGGUCUGAGAGGAUGAUCCGCCACACUGGAACUGAGACACGGUCCAGACUCCUACGGGAGGCAGCAGUGGGGAAUUUUGGACAAUGGGGGCAACCCUGAUCCAGCCAUGCCGCGUGAGUGAAGAAGGCCUUCGGGUUGUAAAGCUCUUUCGGCCGGGAAGAAAUCGUAUCAGCUAAUACCUGGUGCGGAUGACGGUACCGGCAUAAGAAGCACCGGCUAACUACGUGCCAGCCGCCGCCGUAACAC